GACGUAGGGGGCGAGCGUUGUCCGAAUUUACUGGGCGUAAAGCGCGUGCAGGCGGUCCGUUAUGUCCCGUGUGAAAGCCUCCGGCUCAACCGGGGAAUGCCGCGGGAAACUGGCGGGCUUGAGGGCGGUAGAGGGUGAUGGAAUUCCCGGUGUAGCGGUGAAAUGCGUAGAUAUCGGGAGGAACGCCAGUGGCGAAGGCGGUCACCUGGGCCGUCCCUGACGCUGAGACGCGAAAGCUGGGGGAGCGAACGGG
rnacentral:rRNA from 1 species